rnacentral:rRNA from 1 species
AGUGAACGCUGGCGGUAGGCCUAACACAUGCAAGUCGAACGGCAGCACAGUAAGAUCUUGCUCUUACGGGUGGCGAGUGGCGGACGGGUGAGGAAUACAUCGGAAUCUACUUUUUCGUGGGGGAUAACGUAGGGACACUUACGCUAAUACCGCAUACGACCUACGGGUGAAAGCAGGGGAUCUUCGGACCUUGCGCGAUUGAAUGAGCCGAUGUCGGAUUAGCUAGUUGGCGGGGUAAAGGCCCACCAAGGCGACGAUCCGUAGCUGGUCUGAGAGGAUGAUCAGCCACACUGGAACUGAGACACGGUCCAGACUCCUACGGGAGGCAGCAGUGGGGAAUAUUGGACAAUGGGCGCAAGCCUGAUCCAGCCAUACCGCGUGGGUGAAGAAGGCCUUCGGGUUGUAAAGCCCUUUUGUUGGGAAAGAAAAGCAGCAGGUUAAUACCCCGCUGUUCUGACGGUACCCAAAGAAUAAGCACCGGCUAACUUCGUG